rnacentral:rRNA from 1 species
UACGUAGGCAGCAAGCGUUGUUCGGAAUUACUGGGCGUAAAGGGUGCGUAGGCGGCUUUUUAAGUUUGGUGUGAAAUCUCCCGGCUCAACUGGGAGGGUGCGCCGAAUACUGAGAAGCUAGAGUGUGGGAGAGGAAAGCGGAAUUCCUGGUGUAGCGGUGAAAUGCGUAGAUAUCAGGAGGAACACCUGCGGUGUAGACGGCUUUCUGGACCAUUGCUGACGCUGAGACACGAAAGCGUGGGUAGCAAACAGG